AGAGUUUGAUCCUGGCUCAGGACGAACGCUGGCGGCGUGCCUAAUACAUGCAAGUCGAGCGGAUCAUUGGGAGCUUGCUCCUAAUGGUCAGCGGCGGACGGGUGAGUAACACGUGGGCAACCUGCCUGUAAGACUGGGAUAACUUCGGGAAACCGGAGCUAAUACCGGAUCAAUCUUUUCAACACAUGUUGGAAAGCUGA
rnacentral:rRNA from 1 species